CAAGGGGCCGCCAAUAAAGCCAGUAAAAGCAAGAAGACAAGCCCCAAACUCGAAGGACCCUUUUUUGCCAUCUUUGUUACUCUCUUUUGUUAGUUUGCUAAACCGCUGAAUUUAACGAGUGAACAAAAAAAUUCAAACAUAAAUACAAACCAAGAGUUCUUCUUCGCCACACAUUUAGUCAACAAAAGACUGGUUGAAAUAUUAUAAACACGGCCUCGCAACAAAAACUGAGAAAUUUUAUUUCUUUCCACAUCACAUGACUUGUAAUUUCCGUUGAAUUUGUUUAAGUUGGCAAUCCACCAUAAACAUGACUUGUUCUGGGACCUUGGUCUUCCUCUCAACUACAACUCUUCUUCUUCUUCUUCUUGAUCGUCUCAUUUCCAACCUUAACACAAGAACAAUUCUCCAUCGACAGAGACAGUCCUGUCCUGUAUGAGAAUUUCCCUCAAAUGCAUUAUGUUUAACCCCACAAAGCAACUUCUCCAAAAACCUUAACCGUCUUGUCUUGUCUUGUCUCUUCAAAUAUCCUUUGUCUCACUUCCUACACUUAUGGCUUCUACAAUCUCUCUUGCGGAAGAGAUUCGGAUCAAGAACAAGUCGAGGCUAUUGGGCCACAUCUUCUUCUA
rnacentral:lncRNA from 1 species